UACGUAGGGACCGAGCGUUGUCCGGAAUCAUUGGGCGUAAAGAGCGUGUAGGCGGCCACUUAAGUCCUGCGUGAAAUCUUGCGGCUCAACCGCAAGCGGUCGUGGGAAACUGGGUGGCUAGAGUGCGGGAGAGGAGAGUGGAAUUCCUGGUGUAGCGGUGGAAUGCGCAGAUAUCUGGAGGAACACCGGUGGCGAAGGCGGCGAUCUGGCCCAACAUUGACACUCAGACCCGAAAGUGCGGGGAUCAAACAGG
rnacentral:rRNA from 1 species